rnacentral:tRNA from 2 species
GGAAGGGUGGCCGAGUUGGUUAUGGCGCCAGGUUAAGGUCAGCUUAACAUCUGUUUCCUGGUGGGGCAACCCGCGCGAGUUCGAAUCUCGUCCCUUUCA